rnacentral:lncRNA from 1 species
CUGAUUUCCGCACGUCAAGAGCUGCUUGUGUCCUGGGAGGAGAGCGAGCCGUUCCCUGUGUCUGUCAGAGGAGUGAAGGUGCCAAAAUGCCGGCCCAUCUGGGCAGGUGGGUGCAGCAGGGCCCAGAACGCAGGGAGGGGAAGCCAGAAGCACUGCGUGCUGCCGGGCUUCCUCCAGCUGGGUGGCACAACGUCCCCUUCCGUGGGCACAGCCCUGCUCCUGCUCUGGGCAGAGCCAAAUGGGGCUAAAAGGAUCCCAGCAGAGCGUGUCCCAGCGCUGGGCUGUGAUAACCACCAUCUGAUCUCUCCCUUAGGCAACACGCUGCCAAAGAGAGGGGAAGGAGAACUCCCGUCCUGCUUCUAGUAGUCCUUUCUGGUGAGUGUUCCCCACCCAGGGCCGUCCCAGCAGAGCCGGGGAGCGGGACUGUCCCACACAGCGUGUCCCUGCUGGGUCUGGAGGAGGAAAACGGGGCUGCAGGGCUCAGAGCAGUCUGAGCAAACUAACUGUCUCUCCCGACUGAUGGCCCCCUACAGCUGGAGCCUUCCUCUGGAUAUUGGCAGCUUGGAAAAAUGACGUCCUGCAGGUCAGUGCUGUGGUGUGCGGCAGAGGCCAAAGCUCUGCCCUUCUGCCUCCACGGGGACGGGGGAGUUUGGCCAUGGGCUCAUCACUGCUGAGACAGAGGGUGGGCCCUUGAGCCGGGCUGGGGGUCGCCUUGGCAGCAGGAUGGGCUUCGGUGUGGAAGCAUCUUCCCAGUGCCCACCACAGAGCUCGGGCUGAAGGCGGCGGCGCGUGGGAAGAAGGGGCCUUCAACCCAUCUGUGGCACUGCGGAGCCUGGAGGGGAUGAGAAAGCAAAUGAAGAAGCAGCAGAUGCUCUGCAGGAUGCGGAGGGCUUAAG